AACCGCUCGCCUGCGUUGCGCCGGUCACGGGCAGCGGCAGGGCCAGCCGAUGGCUGCGGGUCAAGCCGACCGCGGCAGCGGCUUAUCUUUGGGAGAGGAGGAGAGGGGAGAAGAAGGAGAGGCCUGGCGGCGGCUGAGGAGGUGCUACGCGCCGCCACCUCCACCUUGACGCACCGCCAGAUCUCCACCUCGACGCGCCACCGGUCCUCUGCAUCCACGCGCCGCCGGUCGUCUGCAUCCACGCGUUGCCACCUCCACCUCGACGCGCCGCCAGAUCUCCACCUCGAUGCGCCACCGGUCCUCUGCAUCUACGCGCCGCCGGUCGUCUGCAUCCACGCGCCGCCGGAAACUCCGCCUUGAACUUCGGUUUUUUUUGAUGUUUCCCUCCAGUUCGUCAUGAACCACCUAAGGACGCACGGGAGCAGCAUCUGGCAUUCAGAGCCUGACAGGUUUCAUGGUUGCACACAAGCGAAGGAUCAAAGGAGCCUGCGAAAUAUGUAACUGAGUGUUGUUUCUUUCAGCCAAAUCAUCUAUUCUUAAUUUCCUCUUCAUAUUCUGAUAAACCAUCCUCUGAUGUUGAUUGCAAAUAGAAACAUGUUUUACAGUCUUUCAGAUUUCGGUCAUCAGAGGGAAUUUGGAUUCUUUCUCUAUCACCACACAUAGAAAUGUAUGUCAGUGCUAAUUGAAAAUGUGUAUGAGUUUUCUUUUAUCUAUACUGCAUUAUCAGCCUACGGCAGCGCGUCAUGGAGAAGCCAAGUUUAACCGAGAUUAGUGGCCUUUGUUAAAUUAAAAGAAGGUAAGCCGCUGCGUGUAUGACAGCCUAAGAUGACAUGGCCGGCGUGGUGUGAUGGUGGUUUACAGCGGCAUCAAGAUUGUUGUCAAGGACUUCCCACUGAGUAUGAGAGGCCGGUGACCAUCCGUCCAUGAUUCUUCCUCGGCAUGCCACUCUCUGAUGGAUAUCGAGGCCUUCGCAAUGAGUAUUUCAGUUUCCCCAAGUCUCUCUUUCUGAUGGCAAGGGACUGGUGAAGCACAAACAUGCGACAUAUGGCUUGGAGUAGACACCAACUCCAUGGUUCCAUUCUGCAAGAUGUGGCUUGGAUUACCGUGCUGCUGAGAACAACCAACGGUGGGUGCGCUUGGUUUUCAAAUUGGAGGUUUAAUUCAAGAUUUUUAUAUCUUCCCCCUGUUUUUGUAUGGACAAUGUGUGUGCCGUUUAUAAAAUGUUUAGUUAUGUUUGGCUGAUGAGUAUAAACUCUUUUCUCUGCAUGUUUACCAUGAAUGAUGAAACACACAUCAGUUGGCUCACUUGAGUUCCUGUGCUAACUGAUAA